rnacentral:rRNA from 1 species
GUGGGGAAUUUUGCCCAAUGGGCGCAAGCCUGAGGCAGCAACGCCGCGUGAGUGAUGACGCCCUUCGGGGUGUAAAGCUCUGUCGAAGGGGACGAAGACCGGGGGGUGAAGAGCCUGCCGGGAUGACGGUACCGUUGGAGGAAGCCCCGGCUAACUCCGUGCCAGCAGCCGCGGUAAGACGGAGGGGGCAAGCGUUGUUCGGAAUGAUUGGGCGUAAAGCGCCCGUAGGUGGUGCAGCAAGUGGCGCGUGAAAGCCCCUGGCUUAACUGGGGAAGGGCGCGGUAGACUGCUGGACUUGAGUGCCGGAGGGGGAGGCGGAAUUCCUGGUGGAGCGGUGAAAUGCGUAGAGAUCAGGAAGAACGUCAGUGGCGAAGGCGGCCUCCUGGACGGACACUGACACUGAGGGGCGACAGCGUGGGGAGCGAACGGGAUUAGAUACCCUAGUAGUCC